CCUACGGGAGGCUGCAGUGAGGAAUAUUGGUCAAUGGACGAGAGUCUGAACCAGCCAAGUAGCGUGAAGGAUGACUGCCCUAUGGGUUGUAAACUUCUUUUAUAAAGGAAUAAAACGAGGCACGUGUGCCUUUUUGCAUGUACUUUAUGAAUAAGGAUCGGCUAACUCCGUGCCAGCAGCCGCGGGAAUACGGAGGAGCCGAGCGUUAUCCGGAUUUAUUGGGUUUAAAGGGAGCGUAGAUGGGUUGUUAAGUCAGUUGUGAAAGUUUGCGGCUCAACCGUAAAAUUGCAAUUGAUACUGGCAGUCGUGAGUACAGUUGAGGUAGGCGGAAUUCGUGGUGUAGCGGUGAAAUGCUUAGAUAUCACGAAGAACCCCGAUUGCGAAGGCAGCUUACUAAACUGUGACUGACAUUGAUGCUCGAAAGUGUGGGUAUCAAACAGGAUUAGAUACCCCAGUAGUC
rnacentral:rRNA from 1 species